rnacentral:rRNA from 1 species
CUGCCGAGAAAAGCCUCUAGAUAGAAAAUAGGUGCCCGUACCGCAAACCGACACAGGUAGUCAAGAUGAGAAUUCUAAGGUGAGCGAGCGAACUCUCGUUAAGGAACUCGGCAAAAUGACCCCGUAACUUCGGGAGAAGGGGUGCUCUUUAGGGUUAACGCCCAGAAGAGCCGCAGUGAAUAGGCCCAAGCGACUGUUUAUCAAAAACACAGGUCUCUGCUAAACCGUAAGGUGAUGUAUAGGGGCUGACGCCUGCCCGGUGCUGGAAGGUUAAGAGGAGUGGUUAGCUUCUGCGAAGCUACGAAUCGAAGCCCCAGUAAACGGCGGCCGUAACUAUAACGGUCCUAAGGUAGCGAAAUUCCUUGUCGGGUAAGUUCCGACCCGCACGAAAGGCGUAACGAUUUGGGCACUGUCUCAACGAGAGACUCGGUGAAAUCAUAGUACCUGUGAAGAUGCAGGUUACCCGCGACAGGACGGAAAGACCCCGUGGAGCUUUAC